UACGGAGGAUCCAAGCGUUAUCCGGAUUUAUUGGGUUUAAAGGGUGCGUAGGCGGAUUGAUAAGUUAGAGGUGAAAUGUCCGAGCUCAACUCGGGAACUGCCUCUAAUACUGUUGAUCUAGAGAGUAGAUGCGGUAGGCGGAAUGUAUGGUGUAACGGUGAAAUGCUUAGAGAUCAUACAGAACACCGAUUGCGAAGGCAGCUUACCAAUCUAUAUCUGACGUUGAGGCACGAAAGCGUGGGGAGCAAACAGG
rnacentral:rRNA from 1 species